rnacentral:tRNA from 1 species
GCCGUCGUAGCUCAGUUGGUUAGAGCAUCUGAUUGUGGUUCAGAGGGUCAGGGGUUCGAAUCUCUUCUUCGGCA